rnacentral:tRNA from 2 species
GCGGAUGUGGCGAAAUUGGUAGACGCGCUAGACUUAGGAUCUAGUGUCGCAAGACGUGGGGGUUCGAGUCCCUUCAUCCGCACAA